rnacentral:lncRNA from 1 species
AUGACAAUGACACUGCAAACAAGAACUCAUAGUAGGAAGUUAUCUGAGACUUUGGUUUUAAACAAUAUUCCUGGAAGUCAUCUUUUAGAACUACAAGAUAUUCACCACUUUGUGGGCGAUGAUGGUGAGCAUGAGUUGUUGGCUCUCACACUGCCUCUGGAAAAGCAUCCAAGAUUCCCAACAGAAUGCUGUAGUGGGCGUGUGUGA